AACGAACGCUGGCGGCAGGCUUAACACAUGCAAGUCGAACGAUGUAGCAAUACAUAGUGGCGCACGGGUGAGUAAUACUUGGGAACGUGCCUUUCAGUUCUGAAUAACGUCGGGAAACUGACGCUAAUACAGAAUAUUCUCUCCGGAGGAAAGAUUUAUCGCUGAAAGAUCGGCCCAAGCCAGAUUAGGUAGUUGGUGGGGUAAAAGCCUACCAAGCCUACGAUCUGUAGCUGGUCUGAGAGGACGACCAGCCACACUGGAACUGAGACACGGUCCAGACUCCUACGGGAGGCAGCAGUGGGAAUAUUGGACAAUGGGCGAAAGCCUGAUCCAGCCAUGCCGCGUGAGUGAUGAAGGCCUUAGGGUUGUAAAGCUCUUUUGUCAGGGAAGAUGAUGACGGUACCUGAAGAAUAAGCACCGGCUAACUUCGUGCCAGCAGCCGCGGUAAU
rnacentral:rRNA from 1 species